ACGCUAGCUACAGGCUUAACACAUGCAAGUCGAGGGGCAGCAUGGUCUUAGCUUGCUAAGGCCGAUGGCGACCGGCGCACGGGUGAGUAACACGUAUCCAACCUGCCGUCUACUCUUGGACAGCCUUCUGAAAGGAAGAUUAAUACAAGAUGGCAUCAUGAGUCCACAUGUUCACAUGAUUAAAGGUAUUCCGGUAGACGAUGGGGAUGCGUUCCAUUAGAUAGUAGGCGGGGUAACGGCCCACCUAGUCUUCGAUGGAUAGGGGUUCUGAGAGGAAGGUCCCCCACAUUGGAACUGAGACACGGUCCAAACUCCUACGGGAGGCAGCAGUGAGGAAUAUUGGUCAAUGGGCGAGAGCCUGAACCAGCCAAGUAGCGUGAAGGAUGACUGCCCUAUGGGUUGUAAACUUCUUUUAUAAAGGAAUAAAGUCGGGUAUGCAUACCCGUUUGCAUGUACUUUAUGAAUAAGGAUCGGCUAACUCCGUGCCAGCAGCCGCGGUAAUACGGAGGAUCCGAGCGUUAUCCGGAUUUAUUGGGUUUAAAGGGAGCGUAGAUGGAUGUUUAAGUCAGUUGUGAAAGUUUGCGGCUCAACCGUAAAAUUGCAGUUGAUACUGGAUAUCUUGAGUGCAGUUGAGGCAGGCGGAAUUCGUGGUGUAGCGGUGAAAUGCUUAGAUAUCACGAAGAACUCCGAUUGCGAAGGCAGCCUGCUAAGCUGCAACUGACAUUGAGGCUCGAAAGUGUGGGUAUCAAACAGGAUUAGAUACCCUGGUAGUCCACACGGUAAACGAUGAAUACUCGCUGUUUGCGAUAUACAGCAAGCGGCCAAGCGAAAGCGUUAAGUAUUCCACCUGGGGAGUACGCCGGCAACGGUGAAACUCAAAGGAAUUGACGGGGGCCCGCACAAGCGGAGGAACAUGUGGUUUAAUUCGAUGAUACGCGAGGAACCUUACCCGGGCUUAAAUUGCAGAUGAAUUACGGUGAAAGCCGUAAGCCGCAAGGCAUCUGUGAAGGUGCUGCAUGGUUGUCGUCAGCUCGUGCCGUGAGGUGUCGGCUUAAGUGCCAUAACGAGCGCAACCCUUGUUGUCAGUUACUAACAGGUCAUGCUGAGGACUCUGACAAGACUGCCAUCGUAAGAUGUGAGGAAGGUGGGGAUGACGUCAAAUCAGCACGGCCCUUACGUCCGGGGCUACACACGUGUUACAAUGGGGGGUACAGAGGGCCGCUACCACGCGAGUUGAUGCCAAUCCCAAAAACCUCUCUCAGUUCGGACUGGAGUCUGCAACCCGACUCCACGAAGCUGGAUUCGCUAGUAAUCGCGCAUCAGCCACGGCGCGGUGAAUACGUUCCCGGGCCUUGUACACACCGCCCGUCAAGCCAUGGGAGCCGGGGGUACCUGAAGUGCGUAACCGCGAGGAGCGCCCUAGGGUAAAACUGG
rnacentral:rRNA from 1 species